rnacentral:rRNA from 1 species
UUAAGCUAAUAAGAGCGCAGGGAGGAUGCCUUGGCAUCAGGAGCCGAAGAAGGACGUGGUAAGCUGCGAAAAGCUACGGGGAUUGGCAAGCACGAUAUGAUCCGUAGAUGUCCGAAUGGAGCAAUCCACAUGGAGUCAAGUCCAUGUAUCAUAUACUGAAUAAAUAGGUAUAUGAGGGGAACCGCCCGAACUGAAACAUCUAAGUAGGGCGAGGAAAAGAAAUCAACCGAGAUUCUGUGAGUAGUGGCGAGCGAAAGCGGAAGAGGCUAAACCGAGAGGAGCAAUCCUUUCGGGGUUUAGGACUGCAUUUAGUACAACGAUUGUUAACCGAACAGCAUGGGAAGGCUGAUCAAAGAAGGUGAGAAUCCUGUAGGUGAAAACGAAAGUUGACGAGCAGUAUCCAAAGUACCGCGGGGCACGUGAAAUCCCGUGGGAAGAUGGGGGGACCAUCCUCCAAGCCUAAAUACUACCUGAUGACCGAUAGCGAAAAGUACUGUGAAGGAAAGGUGAAAAGCACCCCGGGAGGGGAGUGAAAGAGAACCUGAAACCCUGUGCUUACAAGCACUUAGAGCACGUCAAAGUGUGAUAAGGUACCUAUUGUAGAAUGGUCCGGCGAGUUAUUGUAUGCAGCGAGGUUAAGUAGUUCAGCUACGGAGCCGAAGUGAGAGCGAGUGUUAACAGCACGUUCAGUUGCAUGCAAUAGACCCGAAACCGGGUGACCUAUCCAUGUCCAGGAUGAAGUGAGGGUAAAACCUCAUGGAGGUCCGAACCCACUCCCGUUGAAAUGGUAGGGGAUGAGGUGUGGAUAGCGGAGAAAUUCCAAUCGAACCCGGAUAUAGCUGGUUCUCCCCGAAAUAGUUUUAGGACUAGCCUCGUGAUUAAGAUUAUCGGAGGUAAAGCACUGAAUGGCCUAGGGGUCGAGAGAUUACCGAAGCCUAUCAAACUCUGAAUGCCGAAUAAUCAUGCACGGGAGUCAGACUGUGUGAGAUAAGUUUCAUAGUCGAAAGGGAAACAGCCCAGACCUACAGCUAAGGUCCCAAAGUACGUUUAAGUGGAAAACGAUGUGAAAUUGCGUAGACAACCAGGAUGUUGGCUUAGAAGCAGCCAUACAUUAAAAGAGUGCGUAAUAGCUCACUGGUCGAGUGACUUUGCGCGGAAAAUUUAACGGGGCUAAAACGUACACCGAAGCUUAGGCUUGCAACUAUGUUGCAGGGGUAGGGGAGCGUUGAAUGAGGGGUGAAGUCGUAGCGAAAGCGACGGUGGACUUCAUUCAAGUGAGAAUGCCGGAAUGAGUAGCGAGAAUUAUGUGAGAAUCAUAAUGGCCGAAAGUCUAAGGUUUUUGGAGGAAGGUUCGUCCGCUCCAAGUAAGUCGGGAGCUAAGGUCAGGCCGAAAGGCGUAGCCGAUGCACAUACGGUUGAUAUUCCGUAACCAUCUGUAAUUUAAGCAAAGGGACACUUCAAAAGGGUGUGACCCGGGCGUUGGUUGACCCGGGCGUAAGGGACCGAAAUCAGAGUAGGGAAGCACACUUGGCUGAAGGCGAGAAAAGCUUUGCGUAUAGAAACAGAUGCCCGUACCGCAAACCGACACAGGUGGACAGGAAGAGAAUUCUAAGGCCAGCGGGAGAAGGGUAGUUAAGGAACUCGGCAAAUUGACUCCGUAACUUCGGAAUAAGGAGUGCUCGAAAGAGCCGCAGAGAAUAGGCCCAGGCGACUGUUUAGCAAAAACACAGGUCUCUGCCAAAUCGAAAGAUGAAGUAUAGGGGCUGACACCUGCCCGGUGCCGGAAGGUUAAGAGGAGGAGUGAGAGCUCCGAAUUGAAGCCCCGGUAAACGGCGGCCGUAACUAUAACGGUCCUAAGGUAGCGAAAUUCCUUGUCGGGUAAGUUCCGACCUGCACGAAUGGUGUAAUGAUCCGGACGCUGUCUCAACCGUGAGCUCAGUGAAAUUGUAGUAUCGGUGAAGAUGCCGAUUACCCGCGAUGGGACGAAAAGACCCCGUGAACCUUUACUACAGCUUAACGUUGUACCCGGGCCGUCGAUGUGUAGGAUAGGCCGGAGGCGUAGAAUGAGGCACGCCAGUGCCUUUGGAGCCGUCGUUGAAAUACGGCCCUUUGGCCGUCUGGGUACUAACUUGUUGGAUACAAGGACCGCGUUUGGCGGGUAGUUUGACUGGGGUGGUCGCCUCCAAAAGCGUAACGGAGGCUCCUCAAGGUGCCCUCAGGCCGAUUGGUAACCGGCCGCAGAGUGUAAUGGCAGAAGGGCGCUUGACUGGGAGGCCGACAGGCCGCACAGGCAGGAAACUGGAGCAUAGUGAUCCGGCGGUUCCGCAUGGAAGGUCCGUCGCUCAAAGGAUAAAAGGUACUCCGGGGAUAACAGGCUGAUCCCUCCCAAGAGCUCAUAUCGACGGAGUGGUUUGGCACCUCGAUGUCGGCUCGUCACAUCCUGGGGCUGGAGAAGGUCCCAAGGGUUGGGCUGUUCGCCCAUUAAAGUGGCACGCGAGCUGGGUUCAGAACGUCGUGAGACAGUUCGGUCUCUAUCUAUCGUGGGCGUUGGAAAUUUGCGUGGUUCGGGCACUAGUACGAGAGGACCGUGCCGGACCGACCUCCGGUUUGCCGGUUGUGCCGCCAGGCGCACCGCCGGGUAUCCGCGUCGGGUAUGGAUAAGCGCUGAAAGCAUCUAAGCGCGAAGCCUUCCACAAGAUUAGAUUUCCUUUUAGAGGGCCGUCAAAGACGAUGACGUGGAUAGGGUGCAGGUGUAAAGGCGGCGACGCCAAAGCCGAGCACUACUAAUAGCCCGAAAUCUUUCGCCG